rnacentral:rRNA from 1 species
UACGUAGGUGGCAAGCGUUGUCCGGAUUUAUUGGGCGUAAAGGGUGCGUAGGCGGUUUUUUAAGUCCAAGGUUAAAGACUGGAGCUCAACUCCAGUUCGCCUUGGAAACUGAAAGACUUGAGUACAGGAGAGGCAGAUGGAAUUCCAAGUGUAGCGGUGGAAUGCGUAGAUAUUUGGAGGAACACCAGUGGCGAAGGCGGUCUGCUGGCCUGUAACUGACGCUGAGGCACGAAAGCGUGGGGAGCAAACAGG